UUCAGACGUACCCCUGUUCUUCCAGUUUAUUUGCUCAGAUCAACACUUCAUCUCUGUAUUGGAUGAGGAUGAAUCCACAAGAACGGCUUAAGAGUAGGAAACUACUCUGCCCCAUCCUCGAGACGAACGAGCGUCAGUCUAACCCUCUCAGUAUAAGAACCCCAGAACUGCAUCACGAUUUACUUGGUCAAUACAUGGACCUAAAAGCUCAAGUCGGAGAUUUGGAAGAAACGUAAGCGCUGUUUCGACUCAUGCCUUCUUGUGAUGUCAUCAGUCACAGAAGUUUAUAUCAUUGAAAUAUAUUCUAGACAUGAUAAAUAGGCUCAGUUUAGUAUGAUAGCGAAGUUCUUUCGAUGUGACCCCAUAAGUUGAACAUUUCACCCGUAUAAUCUUAUUCUCUCAAAACUGCAACUAUAGAACAUGGCAAAAUGAUAUCUGAAAACGUUAUAUACGUUCAUCAUUGCCCAUUUUGGUGUACCCGGCUCUAAUGCAGCUGCAAUGUUUCUCAUGUAGGGGGGGAAAAUCUAUCCAGUGAUGAUGUUAGAAAAGUGCAUCUCAUUGUAAUUUUAUAGGCAUAGAUUUUGUGAGCUAU